UACGUAGGAGACGAGCGUUGUCCGGAAUUACUGGGCGUAAAGGGCGUGUAGGCGGAUGAGCAAGUCUGCUGUGAAAGCUCCUGGCUUAACCGGGAGUGGUCGGUGGAAACUGCUCGUCUGGAGGACGGUAGAGGUAGGUAGAAUUCCCGGUGUAGCGGUGAAAUGCGUAGAGAUCGGGAAGAACAUCGGUGGCGAAGGCGCUCUGCUGGACUGCAACUGACACUCAGGGACGAAAGCUAGGGGAGCGAAUGGG
rnacentral:rRNA from 1 species